GACGAACGCUGGCGGCGCGCCUAAAACAUGCAAGUCGAACGAGAAGCCCGGGCUUGCCCGGGUGGACAGUGGCGAACGGGUGAGUAACACGUGAGGAACCUGCCCCGAAGACCGGGACAACACCGGGAAACCGGUGCUAAUACCGGAUGCCUUCACCGGAUCGCAUGGUCUGGUGAAGAAAUGGAUUCCGCUUCGGGAUGGCCUCGCGGCCUAUCAGCUUGUUUGUGAGGUAAUGGCUCACCAAGGCGACGACGGGUAGCUGGUCUGAGAGGAUGUCCAGCCACACUGGGACUGAUACACGGCCCAGACUCCUACGGGAGGCAGCAGGUAGGAAUCUUGCGCAAUGGGCGAAAGCCUGACGCAGCGACGCCGCGUGCGGGAUGAAGGCCUUCGGGUUGUAAACCGCUUUCAGCAGGGACGAAAUUGACGGUACCUGCAGAAGAAGCCCCGGCCAACUACGUGCCAGCAGCCGCGGUAA
rnacentral:rRNA from 1 species